UGGCGGCAGGCCUAACACAUGCAAGUCGAGCGGAAACGAGUUAUCUGAACCUUCGGGGAACGAUAACGGCGUCGAGCGGCGGACGGGUGAGUAAUGCCUAGGAAAUUGCCCUGAUGUGGGGGAUAACCAUUGGAAACGAUGGCUAAUACCGCAUAACGCCUACGGGCCAAAGAGGGGGACCUUCGGGCCUCUCGCGUCAGGAUAUGCCUAGGUGGGAUUAGCUAGUUGGUGAGGUAAUGGCUCACCAAGGCGACGAUCCCUAGCUGGUCUGAGAGGAUGAUCAGCCACACUGGAACUGAGACACGGUCCAGACUCCUACGGGAGGCAGCAGUGGGGAAUAUUGCACAAUGGGCGCAAGCCUGAUGCAGCCAUGCCGCGUGUGUGAAGAAGGCCUUCGGGUUGUAAAGCACUUUCAGUCGUGAGGAAGGUAGUGUAGUUAAUAGCUGCAUUAUUUGACGUUAGCGACAGAAGAAGCACCGGCUAACUCCGUGCCAGCAGCCGCGGUAAUACGGAGGGUGCGAGCGUUAAUCGGAAUUACUGGGCGUAAAGCGCAUGCAGGUGGUUUGUUAAGUCAGAUGUGAAAGCCCGGGGCUCAACCUCGGAAUUGCAUUUGAAACUGGCAGACUAGAGUACUGUAGAGGGGGGUAGAAUUUCAGGUGUAGCGGUGAAAUGCGUAGAGAUCUGAAGGAAUACCGGUGGCGAAGGCGGCCCCCUGGACAGAUACUGACACUCAGAUGCGAAAGCGUGGGGAGCAAACAGGAUUAGAUACCCUGGUAGUCCACGCCGUAAACGAUGUCUACUUGGAGGUUGUGGCCUUGAGCCGUGGCUUUCGGAGCUAACGCGUUAAGUAGACCGCCUGGGGAGUACGGUCGCAAGAUUAAAACUCAAAUGAAUUGACGGGGGCCCGCACAAGCGGUGGAGCAUGUGGUUUAAUUCGAUGCAACGCGAAGAACC
rnacentral:rRNA from 1 species